rnacentral:rRNA from 1 species
AGAGUUUGAUCCUGGCUCAGGACGAACGCUGGCGGCGCGCUUAACACAUGCAAGUCGAGCGAGAACCAGUCCUUCGGGGCUGGGGACAGCGGCGAACGGGUGAGUAACACGUGAGUAAUCCACCCCCGACACUGGGAUAGCCCGGGGAAACCCGGAUUAAUACCGGAUAGCCACUUCGGUUUUCGGACCGGAAUGAAAAGGUAGCUUCGGCCUCCGGUUGGGGACGAGCUCGCGGCGGAUUAGCUUGUUGGCGGGGUAAAGGCCCACCAAGGCGACGAUCCGUAGCUGGUCUGAGAGGACGAUCAGCCACACUGGGACUGAGACACGGCCCAGACUCCUACGGGAGGCAGCAGUGGGGAAUCUUGUGCAAUGGGCGAAAGCCUGACACAGCGACGCCGCGUGAGGGAAGAAGGCCUUCGGGUUGUAAACCUCUUUCAGGAGGGACGAAGCUACUCGGGUUAACAGCCCAGAGGGUGACGGUACCUCCAGAAGAAGCCCCGGCUAACUACGUGCCAGCAGCCGCGGUAAUACGUAGGGGGCAAGCGUUGUCCGGAUUUAUUGGGCGUAAAGAGCGUGUAGGCGGCCUGGAAGGUCAGCUGUGAAAACUCGAGGCUCAACCUCGAGACGUCGGUUGAAACCACCUGGCUAGAGUCCGGAAGAGGAGAGUGGAAUUCCCGGUGUAGCGGUGAAAUGCGCAGAUAUCGGGAAGAACACCCGUGGCGAAGGCGGCUCUCUGGGACGGUACUGACGCUGAGACGCGAAAGCGUGGGGAGCGAACAGGAUUAGAUACCCUGGUAGUCCACGCCGUAAACGAUGGGUGCUAGGUGUGGGGGGUGUCGACUCCCUCCGUGCCGAAGCUAACGCAUUAAGCACCCCGCCUGGGGAGUACGGCCGCAAGGCUAAAACUCAAAGGAAUUGACGG